AGGAUUGCUCAGAAGAUGUCUUCAGGGUAACCAAGUUCCUGCCAUAGUUCACAGCCCACUGAAACCUGACAAGCAAAAAUUCACACCAUAAAUUAUUGCGUGUCGUGGUCGUAGCUGCGGUGACACAAACUGCAAAAGCACUCGAUUUCCGGGCCUCAAAGACAGGAAGAAAGAGGAUGAAUCAAGCUAAGGGAUUCAUUUGGUCCUUCUUACCGGUGUCUUCCCAACCCAGCAGUUGAACCAGCGUCUCCUGAAGUCUCCUGCAUUGGCAGAUGGAUUCUUUACCACUGAGCCGCCAGAGAAGCACUGAAGCAAACACAAAGUUCAUUUCCAGAGUUCCUACAGAAAGAAGAGUGAAUGGAGUAUUGUUUAUGAGAAGAUUUUAUGAACAGUUCCAGUAACUGGCUUUCAUAAUAUCUGCCAACACUUCCUUGACCAUGAACUAGUUGCAUAGUUACAUUUUACCACGCUGGUGUGUGCCCUGUCAGGUGUAUAAAAGGAUUUGCUGAAGAUUAAAUCAGGCUUUACUACACAUUCUUAUUCUUCCAAUUUGCAAAUCAGAAAAUGAAGAUUUAAGGAGAGUUUGAUACACUUGACCAUCUCAUGCAAAAAGUUGACUCAUUGGAAAAUACCCUGAUGCUGGGAGGGAUUGGGUGCAGGAGGAGAAGGACGACAGAAGAUGAG
ensembl:lncRNA